UACUAUAGCUUGACACUGAACAUUGAGCCUUGAUGUGUAGGAUAGGUGGGAGGCUUUGAAGUGUGGACGCCAGUCUGCAUGGAGCCGACCUUGAAAUACCACCCUUUAAUGUUUGAUGUUCUAACGUUGACCCGUAAUCCGGGUUGCGGACAGUGUCUGGUGGGUAGUUUGACUGGGGCGGUCUCCUCCUAAAGAGUAACGGAGGAGCACGAAGGUUGGCUAAUCCUGGUCGGACAUCAGGAGGUUAGUGCAAUGGCAUAAGCCAGCUUGACUGCGAGCGUGACGGCGCGAGCAGGUGCGAAAGCAGGUCAUAGUGAUCCGGUGGUUCUGAAUGGAAGGGCCAUCGCUCAACGGAUAAAAGGUACUCCGGGGAUAACAGGCUGAUACCGCCCAAGAGUUCAUAUCGACGGCGGUGUUUGGCACCUCGAUGUCGGCUCAUCACAUCCUGGGGCUGAAGUAGGUCCCAAGGGUAUGGCUGUUCGCCAUUUAAAGUGGUACGCGAGCUGGGUUUAGAACGUCGUGAGACAGUUCGGUCCCUAUCUGCCGUGGGCGCUGGAGAACUGAGGGGGGCUGCUCCUAGUACGAGAGGACCGGAGUGGACGCAUCACUGGUGUUCGGGUUGUCAUGCCAAUGGCACUGCCCGGUAGCUAAAUGCGGAAGAGAUAAGUGCUGAAAGCAUCUAAGCACGAAACUUGCCCCGAGAUGAGUUCUCCCUGACCCUUUAAGGGUCCUGAAGGAACGUUGAAGACGACGACGUUGAUAGGCCGGGUGUGUAAGCGCAGCGAUGCGUUGAGCUAACCGGUACUAAUGAACCGUGAGGCUUAACCUUACAACGCCGAAGCUGUU
rnacentral:rRNA from 1 species